rnacentral:rRNA from 1 species
AACGAACGCUGGCGGCAGGCUUAACACAUGCAAGUCGAACGGGCGUAGCAAUACGUCAGUGGCAGACGGGUGAGUAACACGUGGGAAUAUCCCUCUCAGUUCGGAAUAACUCAGGGAAACUUGAGCUAAUACCGGAUACGUCCUUCGGGAGAAAGAUUUAUCGCUGAGAGAUUAGCCCGCGUCUGAUUAGCUAGUUGGUGAGGUAAUGGCUCACCAAGGCGACGAUCAGUAGCUGGUCGGAGAGGAUGGUCAGCCACACUGGGACUGAGACACGGCCCAGACUCCUACGGGAGGCAGCAGUGGGGAAUAUUGGACAAUGGGGGCAACCCUGAUCCAGCCAUGCCGCGUGAGUGAUGAAGGCCUUAGGGUUGUAAAGCUCUUUUGCCAGGGAAGAUAAUGACUGUACCUGGAGAAUAAGCCCCGGCUAACUUCGUGCCAGCCGCCGCGGUAA